rnacentral:tRNA from 2 species
AAUAAAGUGGCUGAGCUAAAAGCGGCAGAUUGUAAAUCUGUUGACGAAUGAAAGAAUUCCUUUAUUA